CCUACGGGAGGCAGCAGUGAGGAAUAUUGGUCAAUGGGAGAGAUCCUGAACCAGCCAAGCCGCGUGAGGGAAGACGGCCCUAUGGGUUGUAAACCUCUUUUGUCGGAGAACAAAACCCGGGACGUGUCCCGGACUGCGUGUCUCCGAAGAAAAAGCAUCGGCUAACUCCGUGCCAGCAGCCGCGGUAAUACGGAGGAUGCGAGCGUUAUCCGGAUGUAUUGGGUUUAAAGGGUGCGUAGGCGGUCCGUUAGGUCAGCGGGAAAAGUGCGGGGCUCAACCCCGUCGAGCCGUUGAAACUGGCAGACUGGAGUUGGCGAGAGGUACGCGGAAUGCGCGGUGUAGCGGUGAAAUGCAUAGAUAUCGCGCAGAACUCCGAUUGCGAAGGCAGCGUACCGGAGCCAGACUGACGCUGAGGCACCAAAGCGUGGGGAUCGAACAGGAUUAGAUACCCCUGUAGUC
rnacentral:rRNA from 1 species